rnacentral:rRNA from 1 species
AGCGAACGCUGGCGGCAGGCCUAACACAUGCAAGUCGAACGAACCUUUCGGGGUUAGUGGCGGACGGGUGAGUAACACGUGGGAACGUGCCUUUAGGUUCGGAAUAACUCAGGGAAACUUGUGCUAAUACCGAAUGUGCCCUUCGGGGGAAAGAUUAAUCGCCUUUAGAGCGGCCCGCGUCUGAUUAGCUAGUUGGUUGAGGUAAUGGCUCACCAAGGCGACGAUCAGUAGCUGGUCUGAGAGGAUGAUCAGCCACAUUGGGACUGGGACACGGCCCAAACUCCUACGGGAGGCAGCAGUGGGGAAUCUUGCGCAAUGGGCGAAAGCCUGACGCAGCCAGGCCGCGUGAAUGAUGAAGGUCUUAGGAUUGUAAAAUUCUUUCACCGGGGACGAUAAUGACGGUACCCGGAGAAGAAGCCCCGGCUAACUUCGG